GAUCCCUGGCAGACGCCCUGCUGUGUCCCCGGGAAGAGGUCAUGUAUUAACUGCCCAGCCCAGACAAAGGCUCCUGACACAGACUCCUCAGCGACCUGCAGAGCCCGUGGACAGGGCUCCCCUGCAGCCGGACACCAGAGUGACCACAGCGAAGCAGCCAGCACUCGGGGCUCCCGGCUUUCCCUGUGGGAGCUCGGUCUCCCCGCACACUCUCCAAACGCAGUCCUGCUGGGACACAUGGGGCGGGACACAUGUUCCUGCUGGGACACACGGGGCGGGACACAUGUUUCUGCUGGGACACAUGGGGCGGACACAUGUUCCUGCAGACACGCGGGGCGGGACACAUGUUCCUGCAGACACGCGGGGCGGGGUGGGGGGAGACCUGUGGUGGGCGCUCCGGUCCUGCACUGCUGGAGUCAGGGUCGCAGGCCGAGGGCCCCUUCCUGGUGGGGGUGGGAUUGCCGGCGGCUGGCUCCGUGGGCUGGGGUGCUCUUGGCAGGCGUUCCAAGGCCCGUCCGUCCUGGGGCGGGGGCUUCUGGGAAGAGGCUCCUUGGUACCCAGCGCGUCCUGCCCUGACCCUCUGCCACACCAGACCCCAGACCCGGCUGUGCCCGUUAGGCGUCGCCGCAGCCGUGCUGUGCCACAGGGCACCCCACGACUCCUGACCUACAACAGCUGCUGCCCCGGAGCCCUCCCAGUUCGGUCAUCAGACGCCGCCCGUGCGCCCCCAGCCACGCUGCUGAGGUACCCACCCCGUUCUUCCACGUGCUGCCUGACGUGGCCGGCCAGCACCCCGCGCACGCGGGCUGAGAGGCUGCCGUGCCGAUGUGUGAGCUCAGUGCUGGGCAGUUCAGGGCCUCUGGGACCAGAAGGCAGCUUGAUGGACGCGUGCGGUGCCAGGGCAGAGGGGACGCACAAACUGGGAGACGGGGGGCUGGGAGGAGGGACCUGUCUGCUCGCCAGGGUGCAGAGGGAAGCAGCACGCUCUUCCAGAAGGUUCCGACUCAAGGUCCAGCCAGGGAGACUGGGAGUCCGCACGUCACGGUCCACUGGCCCCCUUCUGCUCGGAGCAACGGUGUCCCAGGUCCAGAGGGCAGCUCUGUGCGAGACCUGGGCCUGGGCCACCAUCAGCAGCCAAGAGGUGGCACGGAGCCGGCUGGAGCCCUGCAGGGGCUGGGGGAGGGGCUGCCCUGGCUGUGGUUGCGGCUGGCGGGGGUCAGCCAGCUGUGGCCUUCAUGGUGGCUCUGGGAAUGGAGGCAGAGGUGGCAGCCAGGACUGGGGACCUGGCGCAGGGGUUUCCCUUCGGAGCAGAAAUAAUGGGGGGCGUGGCCAGGAAUCCUCAGCGCUGUACCCUGGGGAGGCCUCGUCCCACAUCGCUCCCCUCCCCCUGCUGGGGGCCCAAGCGGGUCAGGGACGCCUUGGGGGGACCCCUCACCCCCAGCAGAGGAAGUCCUCAGAGGAAGGGGAAGGGCUCCGGCCUGGGCCAGAGGCAGCCACAAGGCUGGGGACCUGGAAUCAAAAACCGGCCAGGGUCGGGCAUCCCCAGCUUGGAGGGACACCCUGAACUAAAGCUUCGCUACCCCCAAGGUUCGUGCAGCCUGUGGGCUGCUCCCCCACGGGGUGGGGAGCAGUGCUGUGCACAGGGAGGAGCCCUCACCUGGGGCUUGUCUGCCUGCAACCCACCCGGCCUCAGCUUCUUCAUCUGUGAAAUGGGACCACCAGCGCCCACCCAGGACGGCUGUGGGGCCCCUGGCGUUGAAGCCGCCGGCACGAGAGUUCUUUGCCGUACCCCAGACAACCUCGCCUGCCACUCAGGGAAGAGCCGGCUGGCCCUAGCCCUCAGCGUGGCAUCGGCGACCGGGCUGCUUCCGCACACACAGCCAGCUGCGCCCUGCCGAGGGCCAACCUCUCUGUGCCUCUUCUGUGGAGAUCCCUCCACGCCACCCACUCCCAUCACGAGAACUCAGCCGUGAGAUGCACCCUCGGCCGUCCCGCGAGACGCGUGUCCAGGAGGCGGGUGGGUGCCCGCCGGCCCCUGCCCCGCGCUGUGACAGCCCCGAGGGCCGCAGCCCCUGGAGUGGAGCCUGGAGACUGGAGGGGGCGGGCACGGAAGCAGCGUGUGUCGUCCCGGGUGGAAAGGUAGCUUCUAGGAUCAAGGGGGGGCGGGGUCAGGUCACACUUGUGGGUGAGGGGCCGUUGUCGCUAGGGAGAGUUUCGCGGGAUUCUCGCCGGCGCUCACUGGUGUCCAUGGCUCGCCAUCUGUUCUCGGCAUUUUGUUUUAUUUUGUUUUUAACUACAGCCGCCCACUGGUCAGGCCCCGAGGCUGGUCACCACGACCCCCGCUCGCUGGCCCCCCAGAACUUCUGGUUCUCACGGAUUCCACUGCAAAGCAAAUAAAAUCAUCUUGACAACCGGUGUGCCUGCUCCA
ensembl:lncRNA